GGGAAGAACUGUAGCUUAGUGGUAGAGCAUCUGCUUCCCAUGCAAAAAGUCCCAGGUUCAAUUCCUGGUGUCCUCA